rnacentral:rRNA from 1 species
AACGCGUAUACAAUCUACCUUUUACAGGGGGAUAGCCUUUAGAAAUGAAGAAUAAUACCCCAUAGUAAGUAUUUUUCGCAUGGAAAAUACUUUAAAGAUUUAUCGGUAAAAGAUGAGUAUGCGUUCUACUAGCUAGAUGGUAAGGUAACGGCUUACCAUGGCAACGAUAGAUAGGGGCCCUGAGAGGGGGAUCCCCCACACUGGUACUGAGACACGGACCAGACUCUUACGGGAGGCAGCAGUGAGGGAUAUUGGACAAUGGAGGCAACUCUGAUCCAGCCAUGCCGCGUGCAGGAAGACCGCCCUAUGGGUUGUAAACUGCUUUUAUGCAGGAAGAAACCUUUCCACGUGUGGAGAGCUGACGGUACUGUAAGAAUAAGGAUCGGCUAACUCCGUGCCAGCAGCCGCGGUAAUACGGAGGAUCCAAGCGUUAUCCGGAAUCAUUGGGUUUAAAGGGUCCGUAGGUGGAUAAUUAAGUCAGAGGUGAAAGUUCGCGGCUCAACCGUAAAAUUGCCUUUGAUACUGGUUAUCUUGAAUCAUUGUGAAGUGGUUAGAAUAUGUAGUGUAGCGGUGAAAUGCAUAGAUAUUACAUAGAAUACCAAUU